UCCGGCUUAUCACCGGCAGUUUCUUUAGAGUGCUCAACUAAAUGGUAGCAACUAAAGACGAGGGUUGCGCUCGUUGCGGGACUUAACCCAAUAUCUCACGACACGGGCUGACGACAGCCAUGCAGCACCUCGACUCCGGUCCCUUGCGGGAAAUCCCUGUUUCCAAGGAUUGUCCAAAGCCGUUCGAACCCAGGUAAGGUUCUUCGCGUUGCGUCGAAUUAAACCACAUGCUCCGCUGCUUGUGCGGGUCCCCGUCAAUUCCUUUGAGUUUUAGCCUUGCGGCCGUACUCCCCAGGCGGGGCACUUAAUGCGUCAGCUCCGGCACGGGAGGAGUCGACACCUCCCACACCUAGUGCCCAUCGUUUACGGCGUGGACUAC
rnacentral:misc_RNA from 1 species